GUUGGAGUGGCGGCUUGGGGCGCAGCGUCCCUGAACUUCCUAGAGUUUCUCAGAUUGUUAGAUAUUGAAGGUAGUGUUGAAAAAUCAUUGCAGUGAUCCUAGGGAUGGGAAGCUCGAGUCGUUCCACCUGUGUCUUCCGCACCGCAGGAGUUUUGCUGAAUUAAAAGGCACUACUUUAAUUAAAAAGCAGGAUAAACCUGGGUUUGGAGUUCGGAAGGCCUUAGGCUCAAGGGCUCCAGUUGAGGAAGCGUGAACAUUUUGACUGGAGUUGAUCUUAACCCAAUGGACUUUCCCUGUGCUGACCAACCCUUUCAUCACAAGCAAUAUAUUCGGUUGCUGAGCCCUGGAAAUGUAAGCAGUCUGAAGUGAGAGAUGCUGUAAAUGAACACUGUACACUGACAAGUACCCAACACUUCCCCAAAGAGAGUAAAAUACCUCAUUAAUAGUAA
rnacentral:lncRNA from 1 species